rnacentral:rRNA from 1 species
GGCGGAGUUUGAUCAUGGCUCAGAUUGAACGCUGGCGGCAUGCUUUACACAUGCAAGUCGAACGGCAGCGCGGGGCAACCUGGCGGCGAGUGGCGAACGGGUGAGUAAUAUAUCGGAACGUACCCAAGAGUGGGGGAUAACGUAGCGAAAGUUACGCUAAUACCGCAUACGAUCUACGGAGGAAAGCAGGGGAUCGCAAGACCUUGUGCUAGGGGAGCGGCCGAUGUCCGAUUAGCUAGUUGGUGGGGUAAUGGCUCACCAAGGCAACGAUCGGUAGCUGGUCUGAGAGGAUGAUCAGCCACACUGGGACUGAGACACGGCCCAGACUACUACGGGAGGCAGCAGUGGGGAAUUUUGGACAAUGGGGGCAACCCUGAUCCAGCCAUGCCGCGUGCGGGAAGAAGGCCUUCGGGUUGUAAACCGCUUUUAGCCGGGAAGAAAAGCCUACGGAUAACACCCGUGGGUUUUGACGGUACCGGCGGAAUAAGCACCGGCUAACUACGUGCCAGCAGCCGCGGUAAUACGUAGGGUGCGAGCGUUAAUCGGAAUUACUGGGCGUAAAGCGUGCGCAGGCGGUUCGUUGUGUCGGCGGUGAAAGCCCCGGGCUUAACCUGGGAAUGGCCGUUGAAACUGGCGAACUGGAGUGUGGCAGAGGGGGGUGGAAUUCCGCGUGUAGCAGUGAAAUGCGUAGAGAUGCGGAGGAACACCGAUGGCGAAGGCAGCCCCCUGGGCUAACACUGACGCUCAGGCACGAAAGCGUGGGGAGCAAACAGGAUUAGAUACCCUGGUAGUCCACGCCCUAAACCAUGUCAACUGGGUGUUCGGGAAGCGAUUUCUGAGUACCGUAGCUAACGCGUGAAGUUGACC